UGGGGGCCGAGGAUGCAGGGUUCAUAGUCUCAAAGAAGUGUAGCUCAGACCUCUUGGACAUACUCGCAUUGUGAGAAAUAUGGGAGGAAUCAUCUAGGGAGAUGUCAUUUUGGUGCUAUGGUGUGUUAUUCGUGCAGCUAGCCAGGCCAUAUUCAGAGAGAAUUUUCGGCAGCAAAGGGUAAUAUUGGUGGAGCCAAUUCACACACUAAUUCUUCUGCACCACCACUGCCUCAGAAGGGUGCCACUUCAGCUGCCGAAAAUGGUCGUAACCGGUUGUAUUCCUUGACUAACCGCUAAGAGUCAGAGGCCUCACCACAUGUAGUUACUGGUACGUUGCAAAUAU
rnacentral:lncRNA from 1 species